GCAUCGGUGGUUCAGUGGUAGAAUGCUCGCCUGCCACGCGGGUGACCCGAGUUCGAUUCCCGGCCGAUGCA
rnacentral:tRNA from 1 species